rnacentral:rRNA from 1 species
CCCUUAGAUGUUCUGGGCCGCACGCGCGCUACACUGAUGCAUUCAACGAGUCUAAAACCUGGUCUGAUAGGGCUGGGUAAUCUUUUGAAUGUGCAUCGUGAUUGGGAUAGAUGAUUGCAAUUAUUAAUCUUCAACGAGGAAUGCCUAGUAGGCGCAAGUCAUCAGCUUGCGUCGAUUACGUCCCUGCCCUUUGUACACACCGCCCGUCGCUCCUACCGAUUGGGUGUGCUGGUGAAAUGUUCGGAUCGGCCGUUUGUCGCGGUUUCCGCGUCAUGUGGCUGAGAAGUUCAUUAAACCCUCCCACCUAGAGGAAGGAGAAGUCGUAACA